UAAAGACUAAGCCAUGCAUGCCUUCGAAUAAGAGGAAGCAAUUCUCUCUGAAUCUGCGAACGGCUCCGCAAACCAGUUGUAAACUAAAGCAAGCAAGCUCAUGAUCCGGCCCUAACGGGUUGGGUUGUGGGUGAUAUGGAUAACCCUGGUAAUUCUGAGGCUAAUACAAGAAUGCAAACCCUGUUUGACCGGCAACGGAAGGGCGGGGAGCGUGUGAAGGUAUGCAAGGAUAUUCCAGGAGGGGGCACACGCUCGGACCGCGACAAAGACAGUCCUGACAAACUCCGGUGCGUCAGGCCUGAGCGGCUCUUGCUACGUGCUUCUGACCUAUCAACUAGAUGGCAGCUUAACGGACAUGCUAUGGUUACAACGGGUACAGAGGAUUAGGGUUCGAUCCUGGAGAGUGGGCCUGAGAGAUUGCUCAUACUUCUAAGGAAGGCAGCAGGCGCGCAACGUUCCCCUUGGGCAAUGCCCGAGGGCGUUAGGGGACAUAUGAAUGGUUGCCUUUUAGGUGGCCAAUUCAAAUGGGUCUGUUCUAAACAGUCUCU
rnacentral:rRNA from 1 species